GAUGAACGCUGGCUGCGUGCCUAAUACAUGCAAGUCUAGCGAAGCGGGAACGGGUGAGUAACACGUGGAUAACCUCCUAUCAGACUGGGAUAACUUCUGGAAACCGGAGCUAACCCGAAUACUUAUCUGUGGCUCCGCGCUGCAUUACCUAGUUGGUAAGGUAACGGCUUACCAAGGCAACUAUGCAUAGCCGACCUGAGAGGGUGAGUGGGCACCGUGGAACUGAGGUACGGUCAAGACGCCUAGGGGAGGCAGCAGUAGGGAAUCUGCCGCAAUGGGAGAAAGGCUGACGGAGCAAAGCCGCGUGAGUGAUGAAGGGCGUCGGAUCUUAAGAUUCUGUUAUUAGGGAAGCGGUACGUAAGCAGAAAGCACCGGCUAACUACGUGCCAGCGGCCGCGGUAAUAC
rnacentral:rRNA from 1 species